rnacentral:rRNA from 1 species
UAACACAUGCAAGUCGAACGUGAUUAGAGAGCUUGCUCUCUAUGAAAGUGGCGCACGUGUGAGUAACGCGUAGAUAAUCUACCUGAUGAUCUGGGAUAACACUUCGAAAGGGGUGCUAAUACCGGAUAAGCCCACGGAGUCCUUGGACACUGCGGGAAAAGGGGGGGAUCGCAAGACCUUUCGUCAUCAGAUGAGUCUGCGUACCAUUAGCUAGUUGGUAGGGUAAAGGCCUACCAAGGCGACGAUGGUUAGCUGGUCUGAGAGGAUGAUCAGCCACACUGGAACUGAGACACGGUCCAGACUCCUACGGGAGGCAGCAGUGGGGAAUUUUGCGCAAUGGGGGAAACCCUGACGCAGCAACGCCGCGUGAGUGAUGAAGGCCCUUGGGUCGUAAAGCUCUGACAGAGGGAAAGAAAUGUGGGUGGCUAAUAUCCAUUCCACUUGACGGUACCCUCAAAGGAAGCACCGGCUAACUCCGUGCCAGCAGCCGCGGUAAUACGGGGGGUGCAAGCGUUGUUCGGAUUUAUUGGGCGUAAAGCGCGUGUAGGCGGUUUUUUAAGUCUGAUGUGAAAGCCCCGGGCUCAACCUGGGAAGUGCAUUGGAUACUGGAAGACUUGAAUACGGGAGAGGGAAGUGGAAUUCCUGGUGUAGGAGUGAAAUCCGUAGAUAUCAGGAGGAACACCGGUGGCGAAGGCGGCUUCCUGGACCGAUAUUGACGCUGAGACGCGAAAGCGUGGGUAGCAAACAGGAUUAGAUACCCUGGUAGUCCACGCCGUAAACGAUGAGUACUAGGUGUUGCGGGUAUUGACCCCUGCAGUGCCGCAGCUAACGCAUUAAGUACUCCGCCU